rnacentral:rRNA from 1 species
GACGAACGCUGGCGGCGUGCCUAAUACAUGCAAGUCGAGCGGACGGAUGGGAGCUUGCUCCCAGACCGUCAGCGGCGGACGGGUGAGUAACACGUGGGCAACCUGCCUGUAAGACUGGGAUAACUCCGGGAAACCGGGGCUAAUACCGGAUAACUCUUUCCCUCACAUGAGGGAAAGCUGAAAGAUGGCAUCUCGCUAUCACUUACAGAUGGGCCCGCGGCGCAUUAGCUAGUUGGUGAGGUAACGGCUCACCAAGGCGACGAUGCGUAGCCGACCUGAGAGGGUGAGCGGCCCAGCUGGGGCGGAGAACCGCCCCAGACUCCUACGGGAGGCAGCGGUAGGGAAUCUUCCGGAGGGGGCAAAAGUCUGACGGAGCAACGCCGCGGAAGGGAUAAAGGUUUUCGGAUCGUAAACCUCUGUUGUCAGGGAAAAACAAGUCCCGGAGUAACGGCCGGUCCCUUGACGGUCCCUGCCCAAAAAGCCCCGGCUAACUACUU